rnacentral:lncRNA from 1 species
AAGCCAUUUGUCAAUGGACAGAGAAGUGCAGUCUUACAUAGAGCCAAUAAAGUUUCUGGGGCUGGAUGGAGGCAUUGCAUGGAGGCAUUUUGAUAAACUCAUCCAGGUCACCUGAGCAUGCUGCUUACAACUCCUCCGUCAGCUCUCCCAGCUGGGUGUGAUGCGGGCUGCUCGACAGAGAGCCCCAGACUUCGCCGUGCCCUGACUGCUCGCUCAACAUGGAGUUGUCUUCGCUAUUUUUUUUAUAAGCCACAACACCGAGAGAGGAGGAGGAGGAAGGAGAGGAGAGGAAGGGAGAACCGAACCCCGAAGGAUGGCUCUCAAAAACCCCGGCGGCUCCGGGGCAGCCGGGCGGAGAUACUUUCUGGAUUUAUCCUGAACGAGAAGUGGAAUUGUUGAGUUAAUGCCCAGGAAGCAGCCCUUCUCCCCAGUGCUACACCCUGCAGCCCAGGAGGCCUUCACACACACGGUGCUGAUCUGGAGAAUUUGUACCAAAUAUUUCCAGGCUGAGUAGGAAACACCACUCCAUCCCCACUCACUGGUGCUGGAUCUUGGUACAUUAUCUUCACAUUUCCAUACUGAGGUUUUGCAUCUCUGCCUUUCAUUCUUGUUCAUGAACAUCUGGAGUCUGAUUGGAAAACAAAAGGCAAAUGCAGGCAUAGCAGGCAAUCUGACAAAGGACGCGGUUACAGCUCUGGCAGGCUCCACCGCACCGGUGGUAGUGAGGAGAUGGCCAUUUGCUGAUUGCCUGGGGUUGACACGGCUUGGUUAGUAUGCUAAUGCAGCCUCUCACAUUUAACAUUCAGAUCAGGUCUGCGCAGAGCGCGGCGCCGGGAAGGGGUGGCUGCAUGGAGCCCCGACCGCACCGCAGCGAUCACACACACACCCAAACCCAGCGGCUCUGCUGCCAUGCGCUCUCUCCCUCUUGCACACCCUCUCCCCUCUCCUCCCCUCCUGCCCUCCAUGGUGCACACGCGUACGUACCAUCCGAAAAGCUUCCUGCAGAUGCUGAAAAAUAGGAAAUGUGGAAAAGUCAUGUAUGAUUGGCUCAUUUCUCUGCCUCCUUGUCCCCAAAGAUUCCCACUUUAAUAGACCCUGUGUUUCUGUUGCUGGAGAAGCCCAGAACGUAAUGCACCAGAAUUCAGUAAUAACAAAGCAAGAUGAAGUUUAUCAUCCAGAGCAAAGGGAUGGCAUUUUUGUAGCUCACAUACAAUGUAACAGUCACCAGGAGGCUUAAAAUUCCCUGUGUCCUCUCUCCCCACCCAACCUCAGCCCAAGAGAAAGAAAACAUUACAAUCCAUUCGUUUAGGGCAGCUAUCAUAUGCCCAGGUGAGAAGUAAAGCUUGCUCCUGUUAUUGCAGAUGAUUGUUGCUUUUCCUGUGAGCUUGGAGGCAGGGAGUUGCAAUCCCCCACCUGGCGUAAGUGGUUUCCAAUUUCCAGAAUUAAGGAAGGAAUUGUUUCCAGAGUCAGUUCACAUGGUAAGGUCCAGCAGAUCCUGCAGCCACAAGAGAACUUAAUUCCUCAAGCUCCCUUUUCUUUGUUUUUGUAAUGUCACAGCAGUUCUGGAAAGGCAUAUGGAGAAUCGUCAGCUUCUGCUUGCAUUCAGAGGGCUUCAGAAGUUGCAUUUUCAGAG